rnacentral:misc_RNA from 1 species
GAUGAAGAACGUAGCGAAAUGCGAUACUUGGUGUGAAUUGCAGAAUCCCGUGAACCAUCGAGUCUUUGAACGCAAGUUGCGCCCGAAGCCAUUAGGCCGAGGGCACGCCUGCCUGGGCGUCACACGUCGUUGCCCCCCCCAUCUACUCCUUCGGGAUUGCGGGGGGCGGAUGAUGGCCUCCCGUGCGCCUCGCCGCGCGGUUGGCAUAAAUGCCAAGUCCUCGGCGACGCACGCCACGACAAUCGGUGGUUGCGAAACCUCGGUUGCCCGUCGUGUGCGGUCGUCGCGCAUCGAGGGCUCGAAAAAAUGCUCGGCUCCGGCUCGGCUUUCAACGCGACCCCAGGUCAGGCGGGGUUACCCGCUGAAUUUAAGCAUAUCAAUAAGCGGAGGA